CCUACGGGAGGCAGCAGUGGGGAAUAUUGCACAAUGGAGGAAACUCUGAUGCAGCAAUGCCGCGUGUGUGAAGAAGGCCUUAGGGUUGUAAAGCACUUUCAAUAGGGAGGAAAAGUUAGUAGUUAAUAACUGCUAGCCGUGACGUACC
rnacentral:rRNA from 1 species